UACGAAGGGGGCUAGCGUUGUUCGGAAUUAUUGGGCGUAAAGGGCGCGUAGGCGGCUUUGCAAGUGACGGGUGAAAUCCUCGGCUUAACCGAGGAACUGCGUCUGAUACUGGAAGGCUUGAGGAUGGGAGAGGGAUGUAGAAUUCAGGUGUAGCGGUGAAAUGCGUAGAUAUCUGGAGGAACACCGGUGGCGAAAGCGGCUCACUGGGACCGUCACUGACGCUGAGGUGCGAAAGCUAGGGUAGCAAACGGG
rnacentral:rRNA from 1 species